GGANUUAUUGGGCGUAAAGCGAGCGCAGGCGNUUAGAUAAGUCUGAAGUUAAAGGCAGUGGCUCAACCAUUGUAGGCUUUGGAAACUGUUUAACUUGAGUGCAGAAGGGGAGAGUGGAANUCCAUGUGUAGCGGUGAAAUGCGUAGAUAUAUGGAGGAACACCGGUGGCGAAAGCGGCUCUCUGGUCUGUAACUGACGCUGAGGCUCGAAAGCGUGGGGAGCGAACAGGAUUAGAUACCCUGGUAGUNCACGCCGUAAACGAUGAGUGCUAGGUGUUAGGUCCUUUCCGGGACUUAGUGCCGCAGCUAACGCAUUAAGCACUCCGCCUGGGGAGUACGACCGCAAGGUUGAAACUCAAAGGAAUUGACGGGGGCCCGCACAAGCGGUGGAGCAUGUGGUUUAAUUCGAAGCAACGCGAAGAACCUUACCAGGUCUUGACAUCCCGAUGCCCGCUCUAGAGAUAGAGCUUUACUUCGGUACAUCGGUGACAGGUGGUGCAUGGUUGUCGUCAGCUCGUGUCGUGAGAUGUUGGGUNNNNNNNNNNCAACGAGCGCAACCCUUAUUGUUAGUUGCCAUCAUUCAGUUGGGCACUCUAGCGAGACUGCCGGUAAUAAACCGGAGGAAGGUGGGGAUGACGUCAAAUCAUCAUGCCCCUUAUGACCUGGGCUACACACGUGCUACAAUGGCUGGUACAACGAGUCGCAAGCCGGUGACGGCAAGCUAAUCUCUGAAAGCCAGUCUCAGUUCGGAUUGUAGGCUGCAACUCGCCUACAUGAAGUCGGAAUCGCUAGUAAUCGCGGAUCAGCACGCCGCGGUGAAUACGUUCCCGGGCCU
rnacentral:rRNA from 1 species